UCUUUAUCUUCCAUUUACCAAUAUCUCUUUCAUAUGAUUUACGGAGUUUUCUCUUCCGUUUUCAUUCUUCUCACACACAAUCCCUGUAUCUAUCUUUUUAUCACUAAAAAAUUUCUUCUACUUCUCUUCCGACGUGCAUCCCUUUCAUUUUCUCACGAAUUAAUUGGUAUUUGUUUUCCUGUUUGAGAGGAUUCGUUAUAUUUUUGGUGCAUUUUCAAAGACGAUCAACAAGAUCGAGGUGAAUAUAAACACAAUCAACGGUUUAUGUGGUAAGAUCUGUGCUUUCUAAGUUUUGAAUAGGCUAAACGUGAAGUAUGAUUUAUUUAUUUUUUUGUAUUGAGUUAUUUUCCUUCUUUUCUAUGAUAUGUUCUUCUUGUUCUCUGUGAAGAUGCAUUUUCCUUUCAUAUACAGUUUUUAAAAUUUUUGGGAUUUUAUUGCAUUUUAUUACGUUUUGAAAAGUUAUGCAAGCAGUAAUUUUUGGAGUUCACUAGAUUCAAUUGAAAAUAGAGGGCGUACUUUCCCUAUUAAUUAAAUACUAAUUUAUUGUAUUUUGAAUUCAUAACAAGACUUGCUUUGAUUUCCAAAAGCUACUGAGAAGCUAUUAUAGCUUUGACUCUGUAAAAAAAUUUUGGGAAAAAUAAAGAGAAAUGCCGAGUAGUAGGUAAUUGUAUUAUUAUUUUUGCCUUCUUCAACUGUAACGUCGUGUUGUCUCUGUGUUUGCAACUUGCAGUUUCCUUUCCAGACAUGCUAACAGUUUCAAUAUUAGGUUUUAGUAUGUCUUUUAUUUUGUUAAAUUACUUUUAUCUUCUUGAACUCAUUUUGAACUACACGUGUGUUACAUUUUUCGAUCAAAAGUUAAUAAAAAUCUGAAUUUAGCUAAAGUGAUGAGGGUUGAGUUCAUUAUUUGUAGAAGUGUAUUUCUUUUAAGUUCUUUUUUUAUCCAAAAAUAUAUGCUUAUUUCGUAAUUUUCAUUAUUUAUCUGAUGUAUUAAAUUUAUCAGUUUGUGUUGUCUAAAAAUAAAUUGUUUAUCGCGUACAGUUUGAGCGAUUUAUUUUCCUAUAAUUUUUUAGGAUCUGUCGAUAUUGAAGAUUGUAGCUUUGUUCAGAGUGUUAGAGAUGAAUCUAAAGAUGUGGUGGAGACUGAGCAUAUGAACAAUGACGAUUAUAAUGCCUCAUUUAUUCCACUAAAAGAAAAAAAAAAUAGAAAAAAGGUUGCAUGGCAUUGGCAGUUGCACAACAUGAAUUGCAGCUGCAUUACGAAAUGUGGAUGACAAAAUGCAGACAUUUGGCUAUGUUAAGAGUUACAUCUAUUUUGCGAUUGGUAAGCCAUGUUAUUUUAGUCUAUGUACAAUUUCUAUAUUAUGAAAUGUUUGCUUUUAUAAAAGGUGAAUUUUGCAUUGUAUUUGUUAAGCUAUAAUAUGUUGGUUUAAUUUCUAUGACACUGCCUGCUAGAUUUAUGAUGUCUAUGUUUUGUGCUCUGUGUAACAGAGGUCUUUAUCCACUAUAUAUUACUCAUACUACAUUUGGUGUCAAUUAUGAUAAAUAAUUUAUGUAAGAUGAUUAAAGGAAUUUAUGCAUUUAGAGUUUAAAGACAAGUUUACCAUUACAUAAAUCCACUUUUACCAUCUAUUGAUAAUCCAACAUAUUGACAGCUAUACUUCUAUGAUACUAAUAAUGAAUUACCGAAUCGAUUAAACAUUUCGGAUAAAUUUUGUGAAUCAACCUUACAAAUAUUGAUUGAUAUCUUAAAGAUUAAUCCUUAUUCUAGGUUCUUCUGCUCUUAACUAGUUUUGGCAAUUUGCAUACAUGUUGAAUACAAAUACGAUGCGAUCUUGGCCCAGACCAGCGAGUUUAUAACACACCAACUGUUUCACAAGUAGCUUCUGUUUGGGUUGAUAAAGAUCCAUCUACAAAUAGCAGAGUCCGUGAUAUAAUGAUUUACGAUCAUACUGGCACUUCACACAAAGUGCACUAUUAUUUUGGUUGUUAUGACCCUCUUCUAUAGCCGUUGCUUUUUCCUUACAGUGAAUCUGGAUCGCACAAGGGCAUUCCUAGAUUUAAUAAAGAGGUGAUUGGAUAUUAUUCUAUACAAGAGAACCUUUUAAACAUGAGCAAUAUACAUUCUGUAAGUGAAUUGAUUAAAAGAGAAAGUCAAGAUUAAUAAUAUUGAUUUUUCCCAUUUAUUUUGUCCUAGAAUAUAGUUUGAUUAUUGUUUUUGUUUUUCUGUCUUGUAGUUAUGAAGGGAAAGAAAAGGUCACAAGUGUUAUGUCGAGAGUACUGCUGCUAUAAUUAAAGGUACGAGACUCAGGUAAUUGUAUCUUACUUCAUGCUGGUAGGAUUUUACAACAAUAUGUUGUUGAUAUGUAUAUGAAAAUUGAAAUUGUUAGAUUAGAUUAUUUUCGUAAUAAUAAAAAACAAUUACGAGUAGAGCUAUAUCAAGGAAUUGUUGAUAGUGUUGAAAUAGGUGAAACUAGAGGUCAUGAAAUCGGUCGAAUGAUUAUUUUACCAUCAUCAUUUACUGGAGGACCUAGGGAUAAUAAAAAGAGAUAUAUGGAUGCAAAGGCACUUGUUCAAAGAUAUGAUAAGCCAUAUGUGUUUUUGACAAUAACUUGUAAUCCUAAUUGGCUUGAAAUAAAGGAAGAACUAAGAUAUAAUGAUGAAAAACAAAAUAGACCUGAUUUGUUUGCAAGGAUAUAUAGAGCUAAAUUAGAAUAACUAAAAAAUGAUUUGUUUAGAAGGCAUCUUCUAGGACCUGUUUCCGCGUACAUAUACGUGGUCGAAUUCUAAAAGAGAGGUUUUCCACAUGCUCAUUUUUUGUUAAUUUUUAAAACUGGAUCUAAAGUUACAUCCAUUCCUUUAGUUGAUAAAAUUGUUUGUUGUAAAAUCCCAAAUAGAAAUCAUUAUCCACAUUUAUAUGAUACUGUUGUGAGAUACAUGAUGCAUGGUCCCUGUGGAACAUUAAAUCCAAAUAAUGUUUGUAUGGAAAGUAACAAAAAAUGUAAAAAUAAAUACCCGAGAGAAUAUGCAAUAACUUCACCGGGCAACAAUUCAUAUCCACAAUAUAGACACUGUAAUGACGAUAAAAAAGAUCAAGUCAGAGGACAUUUAUUGGAUAAUAGGUGGGUUGUACCUUAUAACCCUUACUUAACGGCUAAGUAUGAUUGUUGUGUUAAUGUAGAAACAUGUUCAACUGUUAAAGCUGUCAAAUAUUUAUAUAAAUAUGUUUACAAAGGAAAUGAUUGAAUUAGUUUUUCCGAAUUGAAAAUAACAAAGAUGUUGAUAUUGAUGAAAUUUCAAUAUAUCAAAAUGCUAGGCGGAUCUCUCCAUUUGAAGCAAUGUGGAAUAUUUAUGAAUUUGUAUUUUCUAAGAUGUUUCUAUGAAUUGGUUCACUACAUUUGCAUCUUGAAGACCAUCAAACAAUUACGUAUAGAGAUAACACACGAAGAACAAUGUAAAACUGAAUUCUUUCACAUGAAUAUCACAAAUGAAAAAGCUAGAACUCUUUUGUAUAGAGAUUUUUCGUCCAAUUUUGUGUGGGAUGUGAACAAAUGACCAUGGACUAUUAGAAAACAAAAUGUAAUUGGUAAAAUAGUUACAGCACUAUUAGACUUUGCUGAAAUAAACACUAACUCUGAUAACAAAAAAACAUCCACACCAUAAGCAAAACAAGUGCUCUUUCAAACUUCAGCCGAGCCAGUACUUCCUGAUAUACCAUCUGAGAGAAGUAUUGAUAGCUCCAGCUCUAAAACUCAUCGAGUCAUAAUAAUGAGAAAGCUCGGCUAAUUAUCGUCAUAUCUUUUCGUGGACGACAUCAAUGCUACAACCUAAAAGCGUGUUUUGCCAUCUCCGUCAAACUAAUACAACUGCACCCGUCAACGAAUAACUUUGUUUUACUUUGUAGCGCUGGUUUCUAUGAUAACUACUCCCAUGAAGUUUAACGUUAGUUAGCUGAAACGUACGAUAACUUCUUGAUGAUUUCAAGUUGAAACAUUUCUUAAUUUUGUAAUAGGAAUGUAUAACUGCCUUCACGAGGCUUUUGUAGCUCGCAACUUAGCUGUGAUAUUGUAUAAGUUCAAGCUUUAUCAAUUGUCUACAUUAACCUCUAUUUACCAUUACAUUCUAAUUAUAAGCUCUCAUAGUAUUCCAUAUAUUGUUCAGCUAAUACGCGUGAUUUCUUCUAUAUAUCUACGCUAUUAUAGAGUCAACUACAACAUUUCACGUGCAUUGCCCGUGCAUCUUACUAGUCAUCAGUAAAAAUGCCACAUUCAAAAUUAAUGACAAAUGAAGCAUUAUAUAACACAAAUUUAUGGCUAUUACAUAUGCAACAUUAUCCCAAUCAAACGUACUAUUAAUUAUAAUCCAAAUAAAUUAGGCAUUAGAUUACAAAUUUCUAUCCAUAUCAAGUAUUUUUAGAUCCAUACACGUUAUUAGCAAGAGAAAAAGAGUGAAAAUUGAAUUCCUAACUCAAUUGAAUGACAUUAUUAUUAAAUUAAUUAUACGAUAGAGUUUGAUAUAAUCUAAUUGGCAAAACAACUAAUCUUAUUUGAAUUCAAACUGACUGUAAGUGAUUAAUCUUGGUGAAUGUAUUUUUUCCAAAAUCCUUUAAAGAUAAUUUGCUUGGUCUCCUCUAACGUAGUUCAGUCUUAUCAAAAUUAUUAUUUUUUCUUUUUAAUCCUAAUGUGCACAAUUAAUUAUGAUCUGUCGAACGAGUCCAAUAUUUCUGUAGUAGUUUGGUCUAAAUCGAAAACUAGUAUUAUUAACCAAGGAGAUUUUUUAUUUGGCUCUAACUCGAGUUUGCCUUAUUCAAAACAACUUUUUCUUGAGUUUAGAAUGCACAAUUUAUUACGGCUUCAAAAUUAACCUAAUAUUGAUAUGGUAAUUCUAACUCUUUUAAUAGUUAACUAUUUGAACCAAUUAAAUAACUAUAAAAUAUAAUAUUUAUUUCUAUUUUGAUCCCUCAACUAUUAAGGAAAAAUUAUGUAGAUCCAAAUUAACUAUUAAUCAUAACAAACUGACUUGCAUAAAUACUUGACUAGACAUGACAUUUUUGUCAAUUGAAAAAAAAAAAUAUUUGAUAAAACUCGUAAAAUUUUGGGAUUCUACAGGAACAAUUAGAUAAUUAUAUGGUAAAUUAAGUAUUUUUCAAAAUUCCAAGAUUGUUGUCGAAUGGAUGUUGAAAUGCAAAUGCACAGUUUGGUAUUUGUGGGAUUUUUGGGAGGGGUUAUUAAACUUAAUGAGUUUAUUUGAGAUACAGAUUUCACACUAGUUCAGGGAAGGCAAUCAAGUGGUGGAUUUAUUAGCAAAAAUGGGUGCACAAGGGGUAAUGCAGAGAUUUACAUCUUCUGGUGACUUGCUUGAGUAGGCUCGAGGACUUGUCCAGUUGGAUCGCAUUGGAGUUCCCUAUUUACGUAAGUGAGUUGAUUGGUCUAGAAAAUUUUUAAAUUCGUUAUUUGUAAGGCUAUUUUGUCAUCACGGUAUUCCUCCGCCAUAAGUGAGGGUUGUUUUCGAUAAAAUUAUUGGUUGACUUAAAAAAAAAAAGUAUUUUUCAAAAUUAGCAUUUGAAUAUCUGGUAAAUAAAAGUGAUUUAUUGUUGUGUGUGAUUACUGAAAUGGAC
rnacentral:lncRNA from 1 species